AAAUGAUUCAGGGCUCCAUUUCUGGGAAUAUGAUGCUUUCCAUUUGUUCACAGGUCAGGCAGCUACCUGAACUCUGCCCCUGUUGAAGUGUUUCCCUUAAAGAUAAGGGAAUACUCUUUCAUCUUUCUGGAAGCUAUCCGAGCAUUCCAUGGAAACGGAAGCAGCUUAGAACUAAAGGUCUUGCUUUUUGUGGCGGUUGCUCCUCUGCCCCCGCCGCACAGUGUGGUAUUGGUUUGCAAAUAAUCCAGCUUCUGAGAGCAACAGCUACUAAUUCGACAUCUCAAGAGUGCUAUGAUAUCUGGCAGGUGAAAAGAUUCCUACUUUUACUGUGUGUGUGCGUGCACGUGCAUAUUGAAUAUACUUUUCAUUUCAGGCAAACUGCUUCCAGCUCCACCAGAUCAGAAAGUUAAAUACAAAGGUUUUUAAAAUGGCAUUACACAUUUCUAAGCAGUAUGAGAAUUACUGGACUUUUUUCUUAUAUUUUACAGCAUUCAAAAACUUGCCUUGUUGGAAUAUUUCCUGGAUCUAAGAUAAAUGCUGUCUUUGGACUAUAAUGUGGGGUUAUUUCAGUAAGAUUAAGUACACAUGCCACCAGCAAUUAAUACAACAGCACCCUUACAAUUAUUAAUGUGAAAUAAAUAUGGAUUGCAGAUGUGCUCUCUCAUUGUUAAAUAAAGUGGGUGAUUUAUAAAUUGUCAGUUUUCAGACUGAAUUCCCUAUCUGCACCAAGCAUCUGAGCUGGAUUUA